GUACACUCCUACGGGAGGCAGCAGUGGGGAAUUUUGGACAAUGGGCGAAAGCCUGAUCCAGCAAUGCCGCGUGAGUGAAGAAGGCCUUCGGGUUGUAAAGCUCUUUUGUCAGGGAAGAAACGGUGAAAGCUAAUAUCUUUUGCUAAUGACGGUACCUGAAGAAUAAGCACCGGCUAACUACGUGCCAGCAGCCGCGGUAAUACGUAGGGUGCAAGCGUUAAUCGGAAUUACUGGGCGUAAAGCGUGCGCAGGCGGUUUUGUAAGUCUGAUGUGAAAUCCCCGGGCUCAACCUGGGAAUUGCAUUGGAGACUGCAAGGCUAGAAUCUGGCAGAGGGGGGUAGAAUUCCACGUGUAGCAGUGAAAUGCGUAGAUAUGUGGAGGAACACCGAUGGCGAAGGCAGCCCCCUGGGUCAAGAUUGACGCUCAUGCACGAAAGCGUGGGGAGCAAACAGGAUUAGAUACCCGAGUAGUCCCAUG
rnacentral:rRNA from 1 species